rnacentral:tRNA from 1 species
GGCCGUGCUGGCGAGCGGCAUCGCCACGGUGCUCGGCACGCUGGCAGCGCUGGUGCUGGAGCGGCACGGACGCUUCCGCGGGCGCCCGCUGUUC